ACUCAUAGGGCUUCUCUUUGUUGGCAGGAAAUGACAUGAUCAUCUCAUGAAAUAUCUUGCCAAAGGAGAGUUGCCCUGUUGCU
rnacentral:pre_miRNA from 1 species